GCCCUCGUAGCUCAAUGGUAGAGCGCGUCACUAGUAUGCAUGUAAUGACGAGGUUGCCGGUUCGAUUCCGUCCGAGGGCA
rnacentral:tRNA from 2 species